rnacentral:ncRNA from 1 species
UUAUCUUCGGGGUGGGGUGAGAUUCCCGACCGGCAGUAUAGUCUGCGAGCGUUUGAGAGAAGGCGGCGUGCCUUUUCGAGCAUGAUACGGUGUGAUUCCGUAACCGACGGUAAAGUCCGGAUGAGAGAAGAU